GUACGGACUACAACGGACCGGAAACUCACAGAUAAGACAGCUAGAAUGAUUAGGUCCGGGCUAGAAGACUCUACUUGACUAGCUGAGAGGAGGUGCAGUCGGCCGUUCGUCAGUUCGUACUGUGAAGCAUCCUGUUAAGUCAGGCAACGAGCGAGACCCACGCCAACAGUUGCCAGCUCGUCCUCCGGGAUGGUGGGGACACUGUUGGGACCGCCUCUGCUAAAGAGGAGGAAGGAAUGGGCAACGGUAGGUCAGCAUGCCCCGAAUUAUCUGGGCUACACGCGGGCUACAAUGGGUGGGACAAUGGGUAUCGACACCGAAAGGUGAAGGCAAUCUCCUAAACCCAUCCGUAGUUCGGAUUGUGGGCUGCAACUCGCCCACAUGAAGCUGGAAUCUGUAGUAAUCGUGUCUCAAAAUGGCACGGUGAAUAUGUCCCUGCUCCUU
rnacentral:rRNA from 1 species